CUUUGAGCUCUCACCCCUGCUGCUCAUUGCCUGCACACUUUCCUUCGCCACAUCUUUCUCUCUGAGCUGCUCGCGUGCGUUUUUGUUGUGUUUAGUUCUGAAGUGUUAUCGGAGGAUAUACGGUGGCUCAUCUUCCUCCGCCGCGUCCUUCGAGGUCAGAUUUUUCUGGUCCUUUGCGCAAUUUCCUUAGUGUGAGGUCUGGAGGUUGGCUGCGGAGGUUUGAGGAGUGGAUGCUUGAGGUGGCCGCAGCUCAAGAUCUGGAGGAGACGUUAUCUGACGUCGAAGCUUCUGUUGGUGACUUGAUCAGUGCGAAGGAGUUUGAGGAGAUGGCGGCGAUUACCUUUGAGUUUGGGCAGUCGACUGUGAGGACGGAGGAUAUCGCCGAUAUGGUUGAGGCUAGAUUUUUCAAGGAUGGUCGGGCGGAGGCUCCUCCUGCGGGUCAAACGGUGCCUGCGCCUGGGGAAGGUUAUGCGGUGGUUUUUAGGGAUUUCUUC
rnacentral:lncRNA from 1 species